rnacentral:lncRNA from 1 species
UUAGGGGAGUAUUCUACCAUCCUUACUUUAUUUCUCAGUUAUUUUAUUUUUAGUACAAUUUCCCUUUUCGCAAAUAAAAUAAUAGCACUAUUUUUGGGUAAAUUUUAAAUUUCUCCUUUCCUUGAACCAAUAAUUUUUUUUUUCUUUUUUCAAAGGCUUAGGCUAAUAGCUCACUUAGAAAGUAUAUAGGUUAAGAAAAGACGAGAGGCUAAGUUAAGGAAAUUAGGGAAUUUCACAACAAAAUCGGUAUUUUUCCAACACCCAGAAGUCUCCCUAGUAUAGAUAUCAAUUUGAAUAACCAUUGUGCCAAAAUCUCCUGAUUUAAAUUUGUGGAAUCCUUUAGUAGUUUAU